CCUACGGGAGGCAGCAGUGAGGAAUAUUUGUCAAUGGCCGAGAGGCUGAACCAGCCAAGUCGCGUGAGGGAAGACGGCCCUACGGGUUGUAAACCUCUUUUGUCGGGGAGCAAAGCGAACCACGUGUGGUUCAUUGAGAGUACCCGAAGAAAAAGCAUCGGCUAACUCUGUGCCAGCAGCCGCGGUAAUACGGAGGAUGCGGGCGUUAUCCGGAUUUAGUGGGUUUAAAGGGGGCGCAGGCGGAGGGGCAAGUCAGCGGUCAAAUUGCGGGGCUCAACCCCGUACUGCCGUUGAAACUGCAUCCCUUGAGUGCGCGAGAAGUAUGCGGAAUGCGUGGUGUAGCGGUGAAAUGCAUAGAUAUCACGCAGAACUCCGAUUGCGAAGGCAGCAUACCGGCGCGCAACUGACGCUCAUGCACGAAAGCGUGGGUAUCGAACAGGAUUAGAUACCCUUGUAGUC
rnacentral:rRNA from 1 species